rnacentral:rRNA from 1 species
UACGCACUGUGCGAGCGUUAUUCGGAAUCACUGGGCUUACAGGGUGCGUAGGCGGCUUUGCAAGUCAGGUGUGAAAGCCCCCGGCUCAACUGGGGAGGGUCAUUCGAUACUGAUCGACUCGAAGGCAGGAGAGGGAAGUGGAAUUCCCGGUGUAGUGGUGAAAUGCGUAGAUAUCGGGAGGAACACCAGUGGCGAAGGCGACUUCCUGGCCUGUUCUUGACGCUGAGGCGCGAAAGCUAGGGGAGCAAACGGG